GAGAAUAUGCAUAAUUAUCACUCAGAAUUCCCACACCAAAAAAAAACCCCUAAGACCAGCAAACGCCACCAACAAAAAUCCUUCAAAUUGCCUUUCUGGAAAAGAAGAGUUAGAAAUGCCUUCACAGGGCUGAGCAUCUUGGAGACUGAGGCAGCCAGGUCUGAAUGGAGCAGACAUUUCUCCAGCUGAGCCUCCCAAAGGACUCCUCCUGGGUGGUAUCACCAGUAGCCCUGUAAAAAUAGCACUCUCCUUUUCAGAAAGGAUUUGGUAUAAUCACAGAGUGUUUGCAGUUACGAUUAAGGUACGUGUUGUACUUGCUGCCAAUUAGUGUAAUUGAUGUGAAAGUCUGAGUACAUCUUAAGAGGACAGGAUUUCCCCACCUGAAUUGAGCCUUCUUCAAAGACCAGGAGGAACAGCGUGUGUGGAAGAGGGAAGGAGGAAGCAGGAAGCUUGAGUACAACAGAAAGCCCCUGUCUCUAAUGGCACCUGAACCCAGACAGAACUGGAUCUUGGGGUGGAAGUUGAUACCAGGGAGCUAGAAACCAGCUUCAUCAUUUUGAAUUUCUUUUAAACUUUAUUUUUUUAAUCUAAUCUGCUAAUUGACCUCAUCUGUUCCCCUAAUAGGAACAAGCUUUGCAUCAGAAUGUUGACUCAAAUGUUUAAACUUAGUACGAUUUAAAUUGAAUGUAGUGUGGGCCCUGAUUCAGGGCAGUUUCUGUUUCUCCUGAUGUCACUGCAGCGUCACAGAAAGGAGAGG